rnacentral:rRNA from 2 species
AGCAUAGCGAUUUGGGAUAAGUCUCUUGGAAAAGAGCAGCAUCGAGGGUGAUACUCCCGUUUGUAUCUAAGUAGCUUGUGCGUACGAUACGUUUUCUUUGAGUCGCGUUGUUUGGGAAUGCAGCGCAAAGCAGGUGGUAAAUUCCAUCUAAAGCUAAAUAUUGGUGCGAGACCGAUAGCGAACAAGUACCGUGAGGGAAAGAUGAAAAGAACUUUGAAAAGAGAGUUAAAGAGUACCUGAAACUGUUGAAAGGGAACCGUAUCGUUUCCAGUGUUUUAUCCUGUGCAUAUUUCAUUAGCGGAGCAAUUUGCUGGUGCCCUGUGCAUGGGUGUGACGUCAGAGUCAGUUUGUAUGCUGCGGGAGAUGGUCAGUGAGGAGGUGCGUCACUUCGGUGAAAGUUAUAUCUCGCUGUCUAGUAGCCGUGGUUGAGACUGAGGUGCC